AAGAUUGAUCGACAAUGGAGUCACCAGAAAAAAAGGCUUUUAUUCGUCUGUGAGGAGUAGCCUACAUGUUCGUCUGCUACUAGGCAAAUGCCAGUGUCAUCGCGUAUUUGCAGUCAGCACUGCCCCCUUGUCUGCAUUUUCUG